AACGUAGGUGGCGAGCGUUAUCCGGAUUUACUGGGCGUAAAGCGUGCGCAGGCGGUUUUGUAAGUCUGUCGUGAAAGCCCCGGGCUUAACCUGGGAAUUGCGAUGGAGACUGCAAGGCUUGAAUCUGGCAGAGGGGGGUAGAAUUCCACGUGUAGCAGUGAAAUGCGUAGAGAUGUGGAGGAACACCGAUGGCGAAGGCAGCCCCCCGGGUCAAGAUUGACGCUCAUGCACGAAAGCGUGGGGAGCAAACAGG
rnacentral:rRNA from 1 species